UACGUAGGGUGCAAGCGUUGUCCGGAAUUAUUGGGCGUAAAGAGCUCGUAGGCGGUCUGUCGCGUCUGCUGUGAAAACUCAGGGCUUAACCCUGAGCUUGCAGUGGGUACGGGCAGACUAGAGUGCGGUAGGGGAGACUGGAAUUCCUGGUGUAGCGGUGAAAUGCGCAGAUAUCAGGAGGAACACCGGUGGCGAAGGCGGGUCUCUGGGCCGAAACUGACGC
rnacentral:rRNA from 1 species